CCUACGGGAGGCAGCAGUAAGGAAUCUUCCACAAUGGACGAAAGCCUGAUGGAGCAACGCCGCGUGCAGGAUGAAGGCUUUCGGGUCGUAAACUGCUUUUAUAUGGGAAGAUUAUGACGGUACCAUAUGAAUAAGGACCGGCUAACUACGUGCCAGCAGCCGCGGUAAUACGUAGGGUCCAAGCGAUAUCCGGAAUUACUGGGCGUAAAGCGUGUGUAGGUGGAUUAAUAAGUGUGAUGCGAAAUCCGGCGGCUCAACCGUUUGGACUGUGUCGCAUACUGUUAGUCUAGAGGACGGCAGAGGUAAGUGGAAUUACGGGUGUAGCAGUGAAAUGCGUAGAUAUCCGUAGGAACACCAAUGGCGAAGGCAGCUUACUGGGCCACACCUGACACUGAGACACGAAAGCGUGGGGAGCGAACAGGAUUAGAUACCCUGGUAGUCCACGCCGUAAACGAUGCAUACUAUUAGUAUGGGGUAUCGACCCCCUGUGCUGAGAAGCUAACGCGAUAAGUAUGCCGCCUGGGGAGUACGAGCGCAAGCUUAAAACUCAAAGGAAUUGACGGCGNGAGAGNGCGAGACGACGACGAGGAGAGG
rnacentral:rRNA from 1 species